rnacentral:rRNA from 1 species
AUUGAACGCUGGCGGCAUGCUUUACACAUGCAAGUCGAACGGCAGCGCGGGGCAACCUGGCGGCGAGUGGCGAACGGGUGAGUAAUAUAUCGGAACGUACCCAGAAGUGGGGGAUAACGUAGCGAAAGUUACGCUAAUACCGCAUACGAUCUACGGAUGAAAGUGGGGGACCUUCGGGCCUCAUGCUUGUGGACCGGCCGAUAUCUGAUUAGCUAGUUGGUGAGGUAAAGGCUCACCAAGGCGACGAUCAGUAGCUGGUCUGAGAGGACGACCAGCCACACUGGGACUGAGGCACGGCCCAGACUCCUACGGGAGGCAGCAGUGGGGAAUUUUGGACAAUGGGCGCAAGCCUGAUCCAGCAAUGCCGCGUGAGUGAAGAAGGCCUUCGGGUUGUAAAGCUCUUUUGUCAGGGAAGAAACGGCUUGGGCUAAUAUCCUGGGCUAAUGACGGUACCUGAAGAAUAAGCACCGGCUAACUACGUGCCAGCCGCCGCAGUAA